rnacentral:rRNA from 1 species
UACGGGGGGAGCAAGCAUUGUUCGGAUUUACUGGGCGUAAAGGGCGCGUAGGCGGCCACCGCAAGUCGACUGUGAAAUCUCUGGGCUUAACCCAGAACGGCCAAGUGAAACUGACAUGCUAGAGUGCAGAAGGGGCAAUCGGAAUUCUUGGUGUAGCGGUGAAAUGCGUAGAUAUCAAGAGGAACACCUGAGGUGAAGACGGGUUGCUGGGCUGACACUGACGCUGAGGCGCGAAGCCAGGGGAGCAAACGGG